UCUCUUCUCAUUGGUGUUGAUUUCUGUUGACAGUUGAGUUCCGUUGAUCUGAUUGGUUGUAGGUCUAUCCAAUGAGUGCAGAGGAAUUUUCUUUCCUAGUUCGGUUGGAACACACCCUAUAAUGCCAGCUCAAUGGAGCAGCAUCAGACUCCUAUUCUGACUAGGAUCUGACUAUGGCUAUUGUUCA